rnacentral:lncRNA from 1 species
CUUUGGCUGAGGCUUUUUCCCCCGUCGCUGGCUCUGCCCGAAGUUUCUAGAGUUUUCUGACCUUCAAGGCGAGAACUGCUGUGUCAUUCUUAGGGACACUCCCCAACAAACUGCGCCACCCGAGUCUCUCCCUCCUCUCGCCAGCCGGCCCUAAAACAUCAAGACGGAAAAAACAUCCGGGAGAGCCGGUCCGUUUCUCAGGCAGACUAGGCCAUUAGGUGCCUCGGAGAAAGGACCCAAGGCUGCUCCGUCCUUCACAGACACAGUCCAAUCAGAGUUUCCCAGGCACAUCGAUGCACCGCCUCCUUCGAGAAACAAGGUAACUUUCGGGUUCUGGUUGUCUCCAAAGUCAUCCGACCAAUCUCGCAC